AUGGACAUCGCCGGAGACGCCGGAGGCGGCCGUCGGCCCAACUUCCCCUUGCAGCUCCUCGAGAAGAAGGAGGAGCAACCGUGCUCCAGCUCGGCUGCGGGGGGCACCUCGGCGGGCGGCGGGAAUGGAGCAGCCCCUGGCGGUGCCGCCGGAGGGGAGAUGCAGGUGCGGAAGGCGGUGCCCAAGCGGACAUCGACGAAGGACCGGCACACCAAGGUGGAGGGCCGGGGACGGCGCAUCCGGAUGCCUGCGCUGUGCGCGGCGAGGGUGUUCCAGCUGACCCGGGAGCUGGGGCACAAGACGGACGGCGAGACCAUCGAGUGGCUGCUGCAGCAGGCGGAGCCGGCGGUGAUCGCGGCCACCGGCACUGGCACCAUCCCGGCCAACUUCACCUCCCUCAACAUCUCCCUCCGCUCAUCUGGCUCCUCGCUCUCCAUCCCGGCCCACCUCCGCGGGGCCUUGCCAAGCCCCGGCGUAAGGUUCGGCUCCCGUGCCGACGCGUGGGACCGGGUUGUGGGACUCGGGUACCCGCCUGAAGGCCCCGCCUCGUCUUCGUCCACUCCGUCGCCGCUGUUGCUCAACUUCCACUCGGGCAGCGUCGGUCUUGACGUGCAGCCCUCGGCGUCAGCUGCUGCCGCUGCCGCAGCCGCUGACCUUUCGAGGAAGCGGCGAUGGGAGCAAGAAAUGCAACAGCAGCAGCAACAACAACAUCAGCAGCAGCAGCAACAGUACCAGCAGCAGAUGGCGGGGUACACGCAGAGCCAAAUGCCGGGCACCGUCUGGAUGGUGCCAAGCAACAACACGCAGAGCGGCGGGGCGCCUUCCGGCGGUGGAAACGGCGGCGGUGGAGGAGGAAGUGGUGAGUCGAUCUGGACUUUCCCGCAAGUGGGCAGCGCCGGCGCCGCUGCUGCCGUGUAUCGUGGGAGCGUGCCAAGCGGGCUACAUUUCAUGAACUUCCCUGCACCGAUGGCGCUGCUAACCGGGCAGCAGCUGGGGCUCGGCCCCGUGGGAGGCAGCGGUGGUGGCGGAGGCGGAGGCGAUGGGCAGAUGGGGAUCCUCGCCGCGCUGAACGCGUACCGGACACAGGCGGCGGAAGCAGCGGCGGGCCAAGGAGGCGGUGGUGCAGGAGGAUCGUCUAGCCAGCAGCAACACGGAGGUGGCGGCGGCGGCGGCGAGCGGCAUGAGAGCAUGAGCACCAGCGAGUCGUAG
rnacentral:rRNA from 1 species